CAGCCGCCGCGGUAACACCAGCGCCACGAGUGGCAAUCGCGUUUAUUGGGCCUAAAGCGUCCGUAGCAGGUUUCGUAAAUCUCUUGUGAAAUUGCCGGACUCAAUCCGGCAGACUGCAGGAGACACUGCGAGACUUGAGACCGGGAGGAGUUAGAAGUAUUCCUUAGGGAGCGGUAAAAUGCUAUAAUCUAAGGAGGACUACCUGUGGCGAAGGCGUCUAACUAGAACGGAUCUGACUGUGAGGGACGAAAGCUAGGGGAGCGAACCGGAUUAGAUACCCGAGUAGUCCUAGCUGUAAACGCUGUGAGCUAGGUGUCGCGUAUUCUACGUGAAUGCGCGGUGUCGAAAGGAAGCUAUUAAGCUCACCGCCUGGGAAGUACGGUCGCAAGACUGAAACUUUAAGGAAUUGGCGGGGGCGCACCACAAGGGGUGCGGCGUGCGGUUUAAUCCAACUCAACACGGAGAAUCUUACUAGAAGCGACGGCAGAAUGAAAGUCAUGUUGAAGACAUUACUUGACGAGCCGAGAGGUGGUGCAUGGCC
rnacentral:rRNA from 1 species